rnacentral:lncRNA from 1 species
GUUAGACAAGAUGAGCAGAUGGCCAUGCAUAAAUCUUUGUGUGUAUAGCUCGUGAGUUGAAGGAGUUUAUUAAAGUGUUUUUGUCUGCUUCCUAGAGUACCUUUGUUGCUUUUAAUGAGCUAUCCUAGAGUACCUUUGUUGCUUUUAAUGAGCUUGCAGCGUUGUGUUUUGUGUAGCUGUCUUUGGGGUUUUGCUAGUCUAGAAUAUUCUCUAGCAUGAUAUAUAUUUGUAAGCUUUCUUGUAUUGAGGUGAAGUCGAACAUAAUGAAAAUGCAGAACAUCAUCUCUUUCACCAAAAUGUCUUUCUCUUUCUUUUACCCUAUGGUUUCUUUCAUGGUAUCAGAGCAGGACGUUUAGGGCCUGACUCUUUUGUUUUUCCUUUUCUUCUUGUCUUGUCUCUAUCAUGGCAGAUCUAGCCACCCCUAUUAUACCACAAAAUAACCAGAUCUCGGUCAAACUCAAUGAGAAUAAUUUUCUCAUUUGGAAACAACAAAUUAUGGCAAAUGUGAGAGGUUUAGGUCUUGAAAAAUAUUUUAUCAGAGAUCCACCCGCUGCAACUAAGGCUGGAGAAGAUGGAGAAAUGCUCCCAAAUUCUGAAUACAUUAGCUGGGUACGCCAAGACCAGCUCUUUUCGGCUUGGAUUCAGUCUUCAUUAACUGAAAGUACCAUGAUUCUUGUGGUUGGUCUUACCACCAGCAAGGAGAUCUGGGAAGCGCUCCUUCAAAACUACUCAAACCAAUCCAAAGCCAAAGUAAUGCAGUACAAGUUGCAGUUACAGACCUUGAAGAAGGAGGCGCUGAGUAUGAGGGAUUAUCUUAACAAGAUCAAAACCUGCUGCGAUCUUCUUGGCUCAGCAGGCUACAGAGUUUCUGAUGAUGACCAAAUCAUGCAUACUCUUGCUGGUUUAGGUCCCGAAUACGAUUCAGUAAUGGUUACUAUAACUUCUAAACCAGAGGUUUGGACUCUUGGAGAUGUAAGCUCACUGCUACUGAGUUUUGAAAGCAGGAUUGAAGCAGCCAAGGCUCAAGUCAUCAACACUGAAGGAUCUCAACCUUCAGCUAAUCUCGUCCAAAGUGCUCAUCAAGGUAACAAUCAAGGUGGCAGAGGCAAGUCUUUUCAAAAUAACACCAACUCUUCCAGAGGAGGCUUUUCAGGCGGUUUUGGUGGAAGAGACAGAAAUGGUGGUCGAGGUGGACGAAAUGGAGGUAGAUAUGGUAACAACAAACCCAUAUGCCAAGUUUGUGGUAUUACUGGACACACAGCUGACAGGUGUUGGCAUCGGUUUGAGCCAAACUUUGUUCCUGGUACAAGGAACAUUCUAUGAGACCUUCUUCUUCGGCUCAAGGAACUAUGCACCUAACUUCUCUCACAGCAACUUCUCUCAGCAGCCUGUCUGAACAUGGCUCAACUUCCUCCUGCUUCCACCACUUCAGAAUCUUGGUUUGACAAUAGCAGUCCUUCUACUUGGUAUCCUGAUUCUGGUGCCACCAAUCACGUCUCUCAUGACUACAAUGCCUUUCACAAUGUCUCUGACUACCAUGGAGGUAAGAAACUUCAAAUGGGAAAUGGUUCUCUUGCUGUAUUACUCAUGUUGGUGAUUCGGUUCUCUCUUCUCCCACUAACUCCACACAUUUCAUUCUUAAAUAUCUCUUACAUGUGCCUCAAAUUAAAAAGAAUCUUCUUAGUGUUUCAAAUUUGCCUUUGACAAUAAGUUUUUUUGAAUUCCAUCUUUUUUCUGUCUUGUUAAGGACCGGCAACCAAAGCAACUCUUCUCAAGGGCACCCUUAGGAAUGGCUUAUACCGUUUACUUUGCAUAGGUCUUCUCCAGUUUCCACUUCUUCAAUCAAGAGCACUGCUCAGCUGCGGAUCUCUUCACAACUCUCUUCCUUCUUUUUUACUUGUUCUAUGAGAUUCUCUAGAGGUUUGGCAUAGGAGAUUAGGACAUUGUGCCUUUGACAUUGUUAGAAAGGCACUUCAACAAUGUAAUAUCUCUUUUCAAUCAAUGCCAUUACUAAACUUUGUCAUUCUUGUUCUAUCUCUAAAAUUCAUAGGCUUCCUUACACUCACUCCAACACUGUGUACAAUGAACCUUUAGCACUUAUUCACAGUGAUCUUUGGGGACCAUCCCCUGUCCUUUCAUCCAGUGGCUUCCAGUAUUACGUUUCCUUUAUUGAUCAUUACAGCCGAUUUACUUGGUUUUACUUAUUAAAACACAAAUCCAUGUUAACAUCAUUUUUCAGAAGUUUAAAACCAUGGUUGAGACUCAAUUUUCUCACAAAAUCAAAGUCCUUCAAACUGAUUGGGGUGGGGAGUAUAGAGGGUUAACCAAUUUUCUUCAAAAUACUGGCAUUUUACAUCGCAUUUCCUGCCCUUACACUCAUCAACAAAACGGCCUAGCUGAGAGAAAAUAUCGGCAUAUUGUUGAAAUGGGCCUUUCUCUCUUAGCUCAAGCUAAUCUUCCCACCAAGUUUUGGGAUGAUGCGUUUGUCUCUUCAGUCUUCAUCAUUAACCGAACUCCCUCUAAACUUCUCUAAUUUUGCUCCCCUUAUGAAAAGCUUUUCCAUAGGAAACCUGACUACUCUAUUCUUAAGGUUUUUGGUUGCUUGUGUUACCCUUAUCUAAGACCUACCAAUACACACAAACUUCAAUAUAGGUCUUCCCCUGGUACUUUCUUAGGCUAUAGUAAUAAUCAUAAAGGGUAUAAAGUUCUUCUUAAAACUGGCAGAAUUCUAAUUAGUCGAGAUGUUCUUUUUUAUGAGUCCACUUUUCCUUUUCAAUCCAUCACUCCUUCUAUUCCUGACCAUACUCUUCCUACUCUAUCUACUCCACUGUAUCCUACUGUUCCACCUCCUCCCAUCAUACCUGAUAUUACACCACCUCCUUCUCCUGCACAUUCUCCUGCUCCUUCUUCUCCACUGCAUAACACCACAACUUCCUCUUCUUCCUCUAAUUUUGUCCACUCUCACUCUAAUUCUUCUCCUGAUCACCAACAUAGUAAUACUCCAGCUUCUGUUUCUCCACCACCUGCUCCUCCUGUCAUUACACAUCCUAUGAUGACCAGGUCUAAAGCAGGCAUCUUCAAGCCCAAGGUUUUUGCAGCAGAUUCUACAUAUGAUUAUUUAUAUGUUGAACCAAAAACUCAUCAAGAAGCAUUGCAAGUCUCUGUCUGGCAGAAAGCUAUGGGAUUGGAAAUUUAUGCCUUAAUCAAGAAAGGCACUUGGAUUUUCUGUCCUCUUCCUCCGGGUAAGCAUGCUAUAGGCUGUAAGUGGGUUUUCAAAAUCAAACGCAAGGCUGAUAGGUCCAUUUCUACCUACAAAGCUCGCCUUGUUGCUCAAGGAUUCUCACAAGAGCCUGGCUUUGAUUACACUGAAACUUUCAGUCCCGUUGUUAAACCUGCAACUAUUAGGCUCAUAUUAUCUUUGGCUGUCAAUUAUGGUUGGUCGAUUAAGCAUUUCGAUGUUGAUAAUGCCUUCUUGAACGGUGAUCUCUCUGAGGAAAUAUACAUGAAACCUCCCCCAGGCUUUGAACCUCCAUCUACUGGUUCAGCUCCUAUGGUUUGUAAGUUGAAGAAGGCCAUUUAUGGGUUGAAGCAAGCUAGCAGAUCCUGGUUUCUUACUAUUCGUUCUGUUCUUCUUAACCUUGGUUUUUCUCAGUCUCGGGCUGAUACUUCUUUAUUCUUCAAGCAUAAAGGCUCUUCUGUUGUCUACUUACUCAUUUAUGUGGAUGAUAUGCUGAUCACAGGUUCUUGCUCCUCUGAUAUUCAACAUGUUGUUAGUCAGCUCAAUACUCACUUCUCUUUGAAAGAUUUGGGUGAAGUCCACCACUUCCUUGGUAAUUGAGAUUACUAAAACUCUCACUGGCCUUCAUCUUAGUCAAGGAGGAUAUAUUACUGAUCUUACUCCAAAAAGUUCAUAUGUCUGAAGCCAAAGGUUGUCCUACACCAAUGGUAUCCUCCUGUCAACUUUCCAAGGGGGAUGGAAUAAGUAACAUUGAUGGAAAGCUUUACAGGAGUACAGUGGGAGCUUUGCAGUAUGCCACUAUCACCAGACCUGAAAUAGCUUAUAGUGUCAACAAAGUCAGUCAAUACAUGGCUGCACCACUUGACACUCACUGGAAGGCUGUUAAACGGAUUCUGAGGUAUUUAGCUGGCUCUAAAGAUCAUGGGCUACUGUUAAAGAAAUCUUCAUGUUCAAUUACUGGGUUUUGUGACUCGGAUUGGGCAGCGGAUAUUGAUGAUAGGAGAUCCGUUACUGGUUACUGCAUAUAUUUGGGAGAAAGCCUGAUUUCAUGGAGUUCAAAGAAACAAUCUGUUGUGUCGAGAUCAAGCACAGAGGCAGAGUAUAGAAGCUUAGCACAACUGGUGGCAGAAAUUUCUUGGAUAACUUCUCUUCUUGGUGAGCUCUCCAUCAAGGUAAAGCCUCCGGUAAUAUGGGUCGACAAUAUGAGCACCAUCUCUCUUGCUUCUAACCCCGUCAUGCAUGCGAGAACUAAACACAUUGAGCUUGAUAUACACUUUGUGAGAGAUAAGGUAGCAGCAGGAAUAAUAGAUUUGAGACAUGUUCCUUCGCGUGAUCAACGCGCUGAUAUUUUGACUAAACCUUUGAGUUUACAAUUCUUCUCUCGCCUCAAACAUUCACUAGGUGUUCACUCUUUGGGCGCGAUCGAAUUGAAGGAGGGUGUUAGACAAGAUGAGCAGAUGGCCAUGCAUAAAUCUUUGUGUGUAUAGCUCGUGAGUUGGAGGAGUUUAUUAAAGUGUUUUUGUCUACUUCCUAGAGUACCUUUGUUGCUUUUAAUGAGCUAUCCUAGAGUACCUUUGUUGCUUUUAAUGAGCUUGCAGCGUUGUGUUUUGUGUAGCUGUCUUUGGGGUUUUGCUAGUCUAGAAUAUUCUCUAGCAUGAUAUAU